rnacentral:rRNA from 1 species
GUCUACGGCCAUGCCACCCUGAACAAGCCCAAUCCCAUCUGAUCUCGGAAGCAAAGCAGGGUCGGGCCUGGUUAGUACUUGCAUGGGAGACCGCCUAGGAAAACCAGGUGCUGUAGGCG